ACAAAUUUCCGGAUACUUGAAUGGAGAAAUCAAUGAUGCAAAAUGGCGAAAUUUAAAAUUUGAACAAAUGUCAAAUACAAUUUUUAAACUGUAUAUCACAUCGAUCUAUGAAACUUUUUUUUUUUGCAAAACUACUUAGGCUCUUAUCACAAUCAUGACAGUUACCACAAAAUAGUGGUUUUACUAACCACAGAAAUUUAAAUCGACGAUUAUAAAAGUUCGCUUCUCAACCCAGCUAGCAAUCAGUUCAUCACUCACGUCACCAAUGGACGCUACACUGCGCGACCUGGCCCUACAGGUGAUCCCCGUGCUGGACGGAACCGCCGGCUCCAAGGAGCUUUUCCUGUUCACUAGCAAGUACUUUGCCAACCAGCUCGUGGGCGCCUCGAACGCCGCCCAGGAAGAACUGGGCCUCAUCAUGGCUUCUAGACUUCGUGGAACCUACGCCGUGCAGGCCGCCCAGAAAAAGUGCAAAACCCACGACGAGCUCGUAUCGAAAGUGGUUCGCUGAGGGUGUAUUUGCAAUGAAAAUCUCUCCACUUCCCAAUCCCAAAAAUGUUAGUAGUAAUGGAUCCCUCGUUGAGACUGUUCGCGCUGCAGACGAUCCCCGUCCUGGACGACUCGAACGACACCGUCGAGCUGUUCCGCUACAUCUGCCAGUACUUUAACCAACGGCUGCGGCUCAGCUCUCCCGAGUGUCGCGAAGAGCUGGCGAUUAUCGUCAUGUCAAAGUUACGCGGAAACCGCGCCCGGAAGGCGGUUCUAAUGCAGUGUAAAACCUACGAAGAAAUCGAACAAAGUCUGAGUGCGAGUGUGAUGGAUGCGUACAUUUUUAAAACUAAGCAAUAAAAAUACAUUUUUGUUUUGUUACAAUA